GGUCGCGUGGCGAAACAGGCAGACGCAAGGGACUUAAAAUCCCUCAUCCCGAAAGGGGUAUACGGGUUCGAUUCCCGUCGCGACCA
rnacentral:tRNA from 1 species